CUUCUGUCUCUUCACCUGAAAGCCAGCCUUGUAGCUCUGUGUCGCCAUAGUGUGCCUUAUGGUCUACUAACCCACCAAGAGGAGCCAGUGCCACUGAAGAGCAGCUCUGUGAACUUGUCCAUUUGUGAGUGUGUGGCUGGCGUGUCUGUUACCUUAAACUAUGAAAAUAAAGAGAAAGUUCCUUUGGAGGUCUUCUUUGUAUUUCCCGUGGAUGAAGACUCAGCUGUCUAUGACUUUGAGGCCAUGGUAGAUGGGAAAAAAUGGCAGAAUACAGGACAAGAUGAAGCCACUAUUUUCCUAAAAGUAUUUGGAGGGAAAAAUCAGUCAGGCUUUCAAGGAGGAUAAGUGCUCCAGGGACAUCUGCUGUAAUGUGGAGAACCUCUAUCCUGGCUCAAAGGCAGCACUCACCCUGAAGUAUGUGCAGGAGCUGCCCCUGGAAGCAGAUGAGGCUUUGAACUAUGUGCUCCCAGCCAUCCUAAAUCCUUGGUAUCAACUAUCUGAUUGUUUGAUGGGAGAUCCAUCUUCAAUGAUGAGUUUCUACCUGAACAUCCCAGAAGCUCAGCCACCAAUUACCUGUGGAUAAUUUGUCUUCCUUAUGAACUAUGCAAGGCCCCAUGAGUAAACAGGAUAAAUCUCAACCGCGCAUAGAGGCGGCCAAGGAAGCACUGAUUUUGCUGCAGAAGAGUUUGCCUAUAGGCAGUUAUUUCAACGUAUAUGGAUUUGGAUCUUGCUAUGAGCCAUUCUUUCACUUUUUGUCUUCAUAGAUGGAGAAGUUACUGACACAUUUAGUGUAAUUAAAGAAGUUCAGAUCUACAGUCUGAGGCACAGGCAUGUUCAGUAGACAGAAGAGGCGAAUGAUUAAGAAAAACACAAUUUUUUUACUAAUACCCAUACUUCCAAGGCUCUUAGGGCUCUGAAAUGGUCUCUGCAGCCUGUAGUAGAGGACAUUUGUCGGAGCUGGGAUUUGCCUUUUGUUCUAUCUGCUAAAAUGCUUUCCCCGGAACAGACUGUAAUCUUUAGGAGUCAGAGGUUAAUUAUACAUGCCCAGCUAACUGGAAUAAUGCCACCAGCAGAGGCAACAGGAGAAGUUUGCCUCAAGUACACCCUCCAGAGCAAGAGUUUUGAGAAUAAAGUGACAUUUUCUCUACAGCCUGUUUGAUGCCAACCUCAUCAUUCACCACCUUGCUGCCGAGUCCUUUCUCCAGACAAAGGAUAUGGGCUUCAGGGAGACUCCAGCAAAAGAUAAAAAAGAUGUGUUGAAAGUCAGCACUGAUUGCGGAGUCAUAAGCUCCCACACAGCUUUCAUUGCCGUCAACAAGGAUCUCAAUGACCUAGUUCGGGGCUCCCUGGUUCAUAGGGACAUCCCAAGGCCAAUUCUGUUGAGUGCUACUGUUGUGAUACCAUGAUACCAUGGAGGUGGUGAGUUUUACCUCAUUCAAAUUCAUAAAAUUAGGAGACUUGGAUGUUUGAACACAUCAUUUAAAGGAAACAUUUAUAAAAGUUCCUUUUUUCCUUUGUCCCUCUAUAUCUAGGAUUUCUGGCUGGUGUCAACCUUUUCUGUCCUAGAGAACUAGAAUAUAUCCCAUUGCAAGGAGAUUUAAAAGCAGUAUCGGUGGCGAGGAGGGGCACACAAGGAAAAUUAAAACAGAAAAUGCACAUAAACAUUGUCUAAAUUUGAAACUGAUUUAUUUUAUUGAUAAUUAGAUGGUUAAUGAUUAUACCAGUGGCUGGUGAACAACCCGGUAGUGUUAGGACAUGGGUGCUGAUUGCUGGGACUGUCUCAGGCAUUAGCCAAGCAAGCCUGAUUUUAAAUAUAAGGGAUUUGAGGAUUAGGAUCAGGUGGAGAAAUUCCCUGGGCAGGUUUCUGUGGCCGGAGGGGAAUGUAUGUUAGUUCUAGAGGCAGGCUUCAAGGUGGGCCCAGAUUUUUGGUUGGGCAACUGGGUAGAUGAUGAUACCAUUUAUUUAAUAGAAUAAAUAAAGAACAAAGGCAAGUUUAGAGUAUAAAAUGUUGAAUUAUUUUUGAGAAUUUUGAACUUGAGAUUCCUAUGGAACAUCCACAUGAAGAUGUCCAGUAGAAAGGGAGAUAGAUGGGUCUGAGGUUCAGAAGAGAGGUCAGGGAUGAAGAUAUACAUUUGGCAAAAACUAAAGUCAUGAGAAUGGGUGAAAUUAUACAGAGAGCAGGUAUAAAGUGAGGUGAAAAAGACUAUGACAACUAUGAUUAAAAGUUUCAUCAGUAUGUAAUAUAUUUAAUUACUAAAUGAAGACAAUAGUCCCUCUAAAUCUAUGUUGCCAUUCUUUAAAAAAUAAAAAUAAAGGACAAUGAGAUUAAAACAUCGAAGAAUAUCCAGUAUCUCAAGAUGGAUUCCCCAAACCAUAAUAAAAUUAAUGAAAUAGGAAAAAGAGAUGCAAGUGCAUAUUCAAAAGAAAAGGAACUAUGAUAUAACAAAGGGAAUUAUCAAAGUAUCAAAUAUUGCAGAGAAAUCAAAGUAAAACUGAAUAGAGUCUAUUAGGUUAAUACAAAAAAAAUAGUACUUGCUAAUCUAAUCAAGAACAAUUUCAUUGGCUUAGAUUAGGAAAGAAUUUGUAUUAUACAUUGUUAAAGAGCAAAUGAGAGGUGGGAAAUAAAGGGCGGCUUGUAUAGACACUUUUUAUAAAUGUUGAAAAUGGGAAGGGGUAGAGUGCUAUCUGUAGAAGAAAUUGUAGAGUUUGGGUGGUUUUCUGUGUCUUAUAUCUCUUUAAAAUUUCAGAAUGAGAGAGAUUUAAGGGUGUUGUAAUACUAAUAGGAAAGUGCUCAUAGAGAGGGUUGACAAUGCCGGGAGCGGGGUACUAAGGUUAGCUAAUUGAGAAGGGAGUUCGAGGGAGUUAGAGAGGAUGAGAUCUAAAACUACAGUGGUGGGGUUAGGCUUUAAUAGGACAAAUAUUAGGACAUUCUUCCCCUAUUGCCAGGAAGUGAAGAGAAGGUGAUGGGAUUAGAUUUUAGUUCACGGGCUGAGAAGCAUCUUUUUGAAGUUUCUGUAUGAUAGUUUUUCUAUAGUUUUAGUGAAAGAGAUUAGCUAAAGAGUUAGCAAGAUUAGCUAGCAUGUAUGAGACUAGACUGGUAGAACAGAGAAUUUGAGGAAAAGAUUUGAAAUAAUUCUGUGGAAAACUGGAGAGUGAAACACUCAGGGAGAA